UGUUUGAUGUUCUAACGUGGACCCGUUACCCGGGUUGCGGACAGUGUCUGGUGGGUAGUUUGACUGGGGCGGUCUCCUCCUAAAGAGUAACGGAGGAGCACGAAGGUUGGCUAAUCCUGGUCGGACAUCAGGAGGUUAGUGCAAUGGCAUAAGCCAGCUUGACUGCGAGCGUGACGGCGCGAGCAGGUGCGAAAGCAGGUCAUAGUGAUCCGGUGGUUCUGAAUGGAAGGGCCAUCGCUCAACGGAUAAAAGGUACUCCGGGGAUAACAGGCUGAUACCGCCCAAGAGUUCAUAUCGACGGCGGUGUUUGGCACCUCGAUGUCGGCUCAUCACAUCCUGGGGCUGAAGUAGGUCCCAAGGGUAUGGCUGUUCGCCAUUUAAAGUGGUACGCGAGCUGGGUUUAGAACGUCGUGAGACAGUUCGGUCCCUAUCUGCCGUGGGCGCUGGAGAACUGAGGGGGGCUGCUCCUAGUACGAGAGGACCGGAGUGGACGCAUCACUGGUGUUCGGGUUGUCAUGCCAAUGGCACUGCCCGGUAGCUAAAUGCGGAAGAGAUAAGUGCUGAAAGCAUCUAAGCACGAAACUUGCCCCGAGAUGAGUUCUCCCUGAGACUUAGAGUCUCCUGAAGGAACGUUGAAGACGACGACGUUGAUAGGCCGGGUGUGUAAGCGCAGCGAUGCGUUGAGCUAACCGGUACUAAUGAACCGUGAG
rnacentral:rRNA from 1 species